GACGUUACCAUGGACCUUUGACGUUCUACACAAUCAACAAGAUUUGUGUGUAGAAGCCAUAAAUGUCGCAGGGUUAAAGAAAACUAAAGGAAUAUGGACUGGGUUAUGACUUUAAUAAGCAGUAUAUGAAGAUGUUUGUAAGACAGAGAUAUUUUAAAAAACUAUCCGCUUCGACCCAGAAAAAGUACACGAUUCCCUUAGGGCCAGGACAUUAAAUUCUUGAAAACAACCAGAUGCCCAUGUUCUUUUAUUAUAAAGCUAAUGAUUGAACAAUGAUGACCACAAGAGAUUAGCUGUUAUAAUUUACAGAUUCAGGUUUAAGACAUGACUGCAUUAAAGUUACCAGUUUUAUUAGUAUGUUUGCUUGCAAUACAUCACACGGUGGCUGCACCGGCAUCACAGAUAAGAAAGAAGUUCCACGUGCCAACAGACGGAUCAUGUGAUUCUACAUCUUUGUUGAGAUGUCUGGUGAGCUCGACUACUACAUUAUAUGAUGAAUGUGUUACCAAGUGUGAGAAAAACUAUGAUACAAGACACAAAUGCCAAAAAGUCUGUUAUGAAAGAGGUUAUACAACACUUGAAGCUUGUAUAAUAAAAUUUAGCAUCAGAGCUAAGUAUGAGUUUUAGUGACGAUUUACGAUUGAAUAUUACGAUUCCGGAUUUGUGGCGAUUGGAACUUUGAACAUAAAAAGUUAUAUUUAUUUAGCAUAUCUGACUUGCUUUAUAAGUUCAUACGAACAACCAAUACUGCUGCCUUUAUGAGAAUUUCGUAUAAAAAUAUGUUUGAAUUUUUGCUUAACGGUAUGUUAUGUGUAUUUCAUACCAUAUUUAAGAGGUAAUCGUAUAUUUACUUUGAAAAAUCCAUUUUUGUUUAUAUUUUUGAUAUAAGUAGUGUUGAUAGAAAAAGGGUAAUCCUUCUAUUUUAUAUUUUGCAUAGGGAAAAAUUAAAAUUGUAGUUUUGUCGUCAUGAGCAAUUUUUGAAACCGCCGGCCUUAUGCCAUGGUUGUGAUUUAAAAAACAUUAUUUUAAAGGUGAGUAAAUAGAUUUUCUUUUAAGGUGGCUCGGGAGUCUUCCUCCAUUUUGGAUUUUGAAAUAGCAUAUAACGUUGGUCUAGAUCUUUGAUGAAAUGUGCAAAUUUUGAGAGUAGUAUGUAAUUUAUGUGUAAGACUUGAUGUAAAUAUAGAAAAUUGUGGGUUUUAUCAUAAUUACAGCUGUAAUUUCUAAAAAAAACACCUUAUUUGUGUUUGAUUAAUUUUUUUUUAACUUUGCCAAAUAAGGGGAGAUAACUCAGAUAAAGUAAUUUUUAUAAUAGAAAUUGUUGUAAAUUUACCUAUUUUAAUCUGCAGCAAGAAAACAAGUUCGGUGACCCCAUUUUUUCUUUUUCUUAUCUGAAAGCAUGUAAUAAGAGCUAUCUUCUCACAUUUUAUCUUAAAAUUCUAUCAUGCAGUUUUCUUUUUAUCACACACAAUUUGAUUUUCCAUGCAUAAUCUAUACAAAAUCUGACAAUUUUGCACAACCUGUAGCGUAAAAAAAAGUCUGGUGACCCAUACUUUUUAUUAUAUUUUUGAAAAAAGCAUGAUAAAAACUUCAUUAUGACAAAUUAUUAAAAAAUUCUAUCAGUUUUAAUUAAGACACCCCAUCUACCUUAAAAGGGCACUUGAAAACAAGCUAAAUUUCUCGAAUUCAGUGUAGAGAGUAGCUUGAAAUAACUCUCUCAUUAGGUCUUUAUCGCUUUUAUUUAGUUUAUUGAAGGAUGUUCUUGUCCAUGAAAUUCACAUAAUCAUUUUGUCUUUAUUUUAUUUAACAAGGCGUAUUUAAUUUUACGAGACCAAAUUUAUAAGUUACACAUCAUUAAGAUUUGUUAACUUUUUCAAAUGUUACUGUUUUCAAAUGAAUUUUCAUGACAUGUGUGAGUGUUGCAUCCUUUAAACAACUGUUACAUUGGAAACAAAUCGAAUUAUUGUUUCCUGACGAAAAUUUGUGUGAUGUUUUAUGAUAAAGACAAUUGAAAAGUGUGCGUUAGUAUAAAAUUAUAAAUCAUCUUAUUGAGUAAAUGAACUGCUAUAAUUCAUUUAAUUAGAAAUUCAUUACUUCAACAUUUGAAUACGUUAAUAAACCAGUUUAUUCAUUUACAAUGUUUUUUUUUUUGUUUUUUCGAUGAUUUAUUUCAAUUACAUGUAAAUAAGACUCAUGUUAUUAGUAGUAUACCUAUGGGAAAUUCUGCACUCUUACGAAUCUCAUAAAUGCAUCAGGGGAUAUCGGGGGCAUUUCUAAUGUAUCACCAGCCUGUCAACACUGAGGUUGUGAGAUCGAACCCUGCACGUGGCAGGUGCACUUGACUCAGUCCAAUCUUAAUUGACAAGGAUUGCCAGUUUUACAGCCGAAGGUCGGCGGUUCUCCCCAGGCACUCCUGCUUCCUCCAACAAUAAAAACUGGCCGUUACAAAA